CAAGGGGAGAGGCUUUGGUUUCCUCGGGGCGGCCGCACUUCCGGCCUCCGAGCCCCUGUAGCUUGGCGUUGUUCGCGGGGGCCGGUGGGAUCGGAACCCCGUGCUAGACUGAAAACACGAGCCUCUAAGGCUGAGAGGGGUUUAGUGCGGUUGUGCAGGAGCGCCGGCGCGCGCGACUUUUUCUGUGUUGGAGCGGGUUUAAGGAGGCGGCUCUGGGGGGUGAGGCGUUUAGGUGCGUGGCCUCCCCACUCUCGGGUGAGGUAACACAGACCUUGGAGCCAGAUUUGCUGGGUUUGUACCGCAGCCCCAACAGUUAAGCGCUCUGUGGCUUUGGGCAACUCAGGUAGCAUGGAUCUCAUCAGCACAGAGAGAAAGCUUCACUGAAAACUCAUUGCAGAUGUGCUGUUAUGAACACAGGUACCUUUGACAUUCCAGGGCAGAACGUGGAGCUGGAGUGGGAGAGGCAGAUCAGAAAAAGCAUGCGACGAUCACCUUUCUAUUCAGGAGACACUGCAUACAGCCAGUGGAGGUCGCACCCCUUCAACUCAGAUGGCAACAGUGCAGUCAGAGGCCUGCCCUUCCAAGCCUCAGACCCAUGCAGCAGUACGAAUUGAGGUUAAAACACAGAUGCCACUAACCUGCACACCAAAUGGCAUGAGUCAGUGACACCAGCUCCGAGACCUGUUUUGAGCCCAAGCAACCGUCCAAGCCACACGCCUGCUUCUCCCACUUUCAUGUGCGGACGAUAAUCGUGAUGUCGACAACAACUUGCCAUCCUUCUCUGAAUAUUCAUUCAACAAAUAAUUACUGUGCAUCCACUGAGUGCUGUCCCUCCCCGAGGCACUGAGGUAUGAAGUCUCUGUCCUCCUGGAGCUUGCUGUCCAGUAGGAGACAGAGGGGACAGAUAAACACAUAGAUACGAUAUCAGGUGGUAUACGUUCUGUGAGGAAGCAAAGAAGGGGGGUAAAGGACUAAAGACUGGUGUAGCAGACGAGCCCGGUGCCUUGCCAGCAUCCCCGCGGCAUUCACCUGGGCACGCGGAGGCUGCCUCCCGUGAGCCCCUGAGGCCCUCUGCCUGGGGGCAGUUAUUUUUCUGGCCGUGGGAGAACGCUUGGCCCCCAAGCGGGGUAAGCAAGAAGUAUUAGAGAACAUCUUUCUCACUUUCCUCAUCUCAUAGUUACGACAUCUCCUUUAAUCCUUUCUUUCACUAUUUCCUCCAGUUGGUUCACUUCUCACUUCUCUGAUGGCUCUUUUUCUGAGAGUUCUGCCAUUUAAAUAAAAUGCGUCUACCACUGAUUGGGGCAGGGAAGCUGGACCGUCCACAGCCCUGCUUGGGGAGGCAGCCUCCAGGCGAAAAGCAGCAGGCUCCCUGCAGUGGCGCCCCCCUCCCCCGAAUUCUUUUAGAAGAUGGGAGACAGAUCGUCUUCUCCUGCUCCAUCGCCAUCAUCAUUGUCAAGGACACCUUCUCCUGAGAACUCAUUAUCUGCUGAACUUCGGGCCAUUUGUUUGACCGUCAUCAUCUCUGACCCUCACACCAACUCUGAAGACCAGACGGUAACUACAGCCCAGCCCAGGGAGGCAACCUUCCCUCCUACAGCAGCCGAGGCGCUCCCCUCAUACCUCUGGCUACACAGGACACACCUCAGCAGCGAUUCCCGUGGCCACAGUGCCCUCACCAUGCAUUCUGGGCCCCGCCAAGGCAGUUACUUUGAUCCUGAAUAGGAGACUCCAUAUCACACGGGACGUGCAGUUCUUUUUAGGCAGCUGGCAUGAGCUUAGCACAGAUGCCUCCCGGAGCAGGACUGCUUUGCUGCCUCCUGGGAGGUCCAUCAUCAAAACCUCCUGCCCCGACCCACAUUGUGACUCUCUCCAUUCGUGCUUCUGGCUGGAGCUACCAGGUAACCGACGUGGGAGUCUAUGACUGCUUCAUUUGGCUCAGAGUUCCUUCUGGAGGAGCUGGCGUCUCAAAGUUGGUUAGCAGUAAGCGAGCCCUGAGGUGCUAGCUAUUAAGGCCUGAAAGGUGGGCACAACUGGGCUGCGGUCUGUGUGGGUGGUCCCCAGGAAGUCCCCUAGCGUCUCUAGGAUUUCGGUUUCUCUCAGGCUGGAAGCAAUCACAUGGUUUUUAGGGCUCCGUUUCACCCCUUUCUUGUCCUGUCCUUAGUGCUUACCAAAUGUCUAUGUGUACAUCUACAUUUUCGGCUUCCUAUGUAGUCAGACUGAGGCCAAAUGACAGGGUGUCAGCUACUAGCCAGUGGGACACAGGCAGCAUUAAUGUACACCACUUCAAGGCUUGGUCCUUAUAAAACCUCCCAGGAGUCUUGCUUCUCUCUUUUCCUCCACUGCUUGGGAACUACACAUUCUAGGCUUACAUCAGACUUUGUGUGAGGAAGAAAUAGAACUAUUAUUGUAUUAAAGCACUGAGCUUUGUUGGUCUAUCUGUUAGCAUAGCAUAGCGUAGCCUAUCCUGACUAAUACAUUUUCUUUUAUUCUGCCUAUUCACUCAUUCAUCCACUCAUUCAGAUGUCAUUCGUUCACUUGAUAUUAAUUAAGUGCCUACUACAUGGCUGGACACUAGUACCCUAGCAUGAAUAUACCUUGGGUUCUUCCCCUGGAGAAGAGGUGGAUAUCUAGGUGAGGAGAUGGAGAUGGAGAUGGGAGCAGAGACAAUAAUAAUACAGUGAUAAGUGUGUACAGGGUGCAUAACAUUGUGUUAUGUGCAGAGAAAUAAACAUUCAGAGGCCUUUACCUUUAGAAAACUUCAACUAUACUCUUUCUAGUUUCUUUCUUUAUCCUUUUUUCUAGACAGUGCUCACCCCUGCAUACUGUGCCAGUUCUAAAAACAAAACAAAACCAAAAACUGCAUUUACCACCACUCUCUCCUUCCUACCAGCCCAUCAUUCCAAAUCCAUCUUCCUGAAGUACCAUUUCUAUAGGUCAUGCCCCCGUCUGAAAAUCAUUCAGGGGGGUCUUUCUUUCAUCGCCCACACAAGGUCCAAACUCCUUAAUUUGGCAUUGAUCCAGUUCUGAGCUGUCUUUCUAACAUUAUUUUCCUCUUCUCCUUCAACCAGAUGGCAUAAUCCAUGUCCAACGACCCACACCAUUGGUGAUCCCACUCCCAUGUCUUUUCUCACACCACUGUUUCCUCAGAAUUCCCCUCCUUGUCUGCCUAAGUCCCUUUCUCUCUUCAGAGUCCCACCUCAAGUGAUAUCUUUGGUCUUUCUGUCUACCCCAGGCUAUAGUAUUAAUAUAUUCAGCAACUUAGAUGAAACGGACAAUUCCUUGGGAAAAAAACUAGCAAGGGACAGAGAAAAGAGAAAUAGUCCUAUAUGUCCUAAAGAAAUUGAAUUCUAAAUCAAAACCUUUCCCACAGAGGAAAUUCCAGGCCCAGAUGGCUUCACCAGUGAAUUCCAUAAAACAUUUUAGGAAGAAAUGAUCCGAUUUACAAAAAUUCUUUCAGAAAAUAGAGGAGAACAUUUCCCAAUACAUGGUAUGAAGCUUGUAUAACCUUGAUACCAAAACCUGAUGAAAGACACUUCUAAAACAUCUAUAGCUAACAUCAUAUUUAAUGGUUAAACAAACAUUGGCUGCUUUCUCUAAGACAGGGAAGAAAUCAAAACAUCUACUUUCACCAGUAUAGUAAGACACAAAGAUAUGAAAGGAAGUAGCAAAUACUGUCAUUUCCAGCAAAAUGAUUGUGUAGGUUUAAAACCCUAUGAAAUCUACAAAAACUGCUAGAACUAAAGAGUAAAAGUAGAAAAGUCACUGGUCAAUAUAUUAGAAAAAUCAAUUGUAUUUCUCUCUCUCUAUAUAUAUAUAUACUAGUAAUCAAAACUUGGAGAAUUAAAUAAAAAGGAAUACCACUUACAAUAUUAUCAAAUAUGUAAGUCUAACAGAAGAUUGUGUGUCCUCUACCCUAAAAACUGCAAAACAUUCCUAAGAGAAAUUAUAGAAGGCCUAGGUGAUCAAAAGCUAUACUAUAUUCAGGGAUCAGAAGGCACAACAUUGUUAAAGAUGUCUAUUCUCCCCAGAUGCAUCUAUCGAUUCCAAUCAAUGGCCAACCAAAAUCCCAGCAUUUUUAAAAGAAAUUGACAGGCUGAUUCUGAGAUGUAUGUGAAAAUGCAUAGGUUCUAGAAUAGCUAAAAUAAUCUUGAAAGAGAAGAACAAAUUGGGAGGAUUUAUGCUACCCGAUUUCAAGACUUAGUACAAAUCUACAGAGGUCAAGACAGGGUGGUUUUGGCAAGAGAGCAGACGUACAGAUCGGUGGGGCAGAACAGAGGGUCCGGAAAUAGAGCCACACACCUACAGCUGACUGAUUUUUCGUAAAAGGCGUUAAAUCAAUUCAAUGGGGGAAAAGAAAGGUUUUUGGUUUUUUGUUUGUUUGUUUUACAGAUGGUUCUGGAACAAAUGAAUAUACGUAUGGGAAAAAAUUAAUUUUGACCCCUACUUCACUCCAUACACAAGUAAUUACAUAAAGAUCACAGACCUAAACACAAAAGCUAGAACUAUAAAAUCUCUGGAACAAAAUACAUGACAAAAUCUUCAUGAACUUAAAGGAAGCAGAUUUCUCUGACAGGGUUCAAAGGGACUGGCCACACAAGAGAAUACUGAUGAACUGGACUUCGUCAAAAUUUUAAAAAUGUCUGCUCAGCAAAAGAAUGCCAUUUAGAAGUAAAUUGGCAAGGCACAGGCUGGGAAUAAAUAUUUGCAAUCCUAUAUCUGACACAGAACUUUCAUUCAGAGUAUAGAAAGAGCUACUACAAAUCAAUAAUGAAAAAACAAAGGACCCAGUUAAAAAUGAGGAGAAGGCAUAAUGACAUUUCAGAAGAGAAGGUAUAGAUAUAUGAAUGUCUAGUAAGCUCAUGAAAAGACAUUCAACAUUAUAUGUCAGCAGAGAAAUUCAAAUUAAAACCACAAUGAGAUACCAUUUCAUAUCCACUGUAAUGACUACUGACGUACCCAGUGUUAGCGGGGAUACAGAGCAACUAGAGCUCUGGUACAUUGCUGGUGGGAGUGUAAAAUGGUACAACCAUUUUGGAAGAAGCUCUGCCAGUUUCUUAUAAAACUAAACAUACACUUAGCCUGUGACUAAGCAUUUUCCCUCCUAGAUAUUUACCCAAGAGAAAUGAAAAUGUAAAUCUACAUUUACAUGGACUUGUACAAAAGUAUUCCUGGCAGCUUUCGUUCAUAAUGGCCCCAAACUGGAUACAGCUCAACUAAGGAGGUAAACUGUGCUGUAUUCUUACAACGGAUUACUGCUCAGCAGUGAAAAGGAAUGAACUACUGAUACAUAAAACAAUAUGAGUAAAUUUCAAAAAGUAUUAUGCUGAAUGAAAGAGGCCAGAUAUUUUUUAAAAAUCAUACUGUAUGAUUCAAUUUACAUGUAGUGCUUGAACGGGCAAGUCUAAUCUAUGUGACAGAAAUCAUAAUAAUGGUUGACAAAGGGGGUGGAAGAUUGGAAAGGGGUACUAAAAUUUGGGGGGUGAUGGAACUGUACUAUAUAUUAUUUUGGGAGGUGGUUGCACAGACGUAUAUGUCACAGCUCAUUGAACUCAACACUUAAAAUGUGUACACAACUUAAUUGUAUGUUAAACUAUAUCUCAAUUUUAAAAUUACUCCUUCCACCACCCCCAGAAAACCCUGUUGGGUGCUACUGUAAUGUACUGUUAUGAUUUUCAUAUGCAGUUAUCCAUUUUAAACUUUCCUAGAUCCCUCGGCAGGACCCGCACGGUACUUGGGACUCCAUAUUUGUCGAAUCAAUGAAUGAGUAAUAAUCAGACAGUGUAAAAGAGAAAUAAAAGGUAAAGGAAGACUAGAAUACGACACCAUACAUAAUUCCACUGUUUCCAUUUUUCCGGGAGUCAACACCAUUGCAAACGCAGGUCCCUAUCUCCCAACACAUAACAAUAACCCGGUGUCUAAGACAUCUUGCUUUUAUUUACAAUAAAAGAGGCAAGGAAAUAAGAGAAAGCUUUUGUCUCCUACCUCCUUUUGAGGUGACACCACAUAAUUAUUACUCCGUUUCUUAACUCUAGUGCGAGAGACCAAAAGACAUCGGAUGAAUCACCUUUUCAUUCAUAAAACCCUGCUUAUAUCUUUCAUCGCUUUUAUCCUCCUAGAAUAAUAGCAGAGAAACAGCACUUGACGGGCCUACAUUAUCAGACUCUAUUGGAAAGGUCUAGAUAAGAGUGCUGAACCACCUAUUAGUAUUCUGCAUGCAAACCCUUCUCCGUAACCCAGAGUCAUCCGUAUCCUGGCAACCCUCAGAAUUUCAUUCUCAUUGAAUUGCUAGAUCUUUAUCAAAAUAUAAUUAGAGCCUUAAUUCGAAAGAUAAAUUUUGAUUGCCAGUGCCAUGCCGAAAGGAAGGAAUAAUCAGGUGGGAGAGCGCUUAGGCACAAUUGUUAACCAUAUAAUCAAUGUCAUGGAUCACGCAUCCCCUAAAAAACAUAACUUUGGGGGAAGUUGUGAGGGGUAGAGCAAGGAGGGGAAGAAAUCAUUGAGGCACCAGACUUACAUUAUGUUUGCUCGUUUUCUCAUGUUGUUGCUUAAGUACUUGUCAUCUCUUCCCAACUGGAAGAGUUUGGGGAAGGCCCAUGCUGUGUGUCCUGCUUCUGUGUGUGCUCACAGUGGCCCAGUCCGUAGCAGGAAGUAACGUGGUCUACAAGCCUCCUAUCUUGGGGUCAGGUCUCCUGGAAGCAGACUUUGAGAUAGACAUUGGCGUGUGGGAAGCUUACUAGCAAAUGCUCUUCAGGUCAAGACCUAUGGAGGGAAUUAAGCAGGACUGGGCAGAGAGAGAAGUUGGGCUGUGAUACCGUCACAACAGAGGAUCAGCCAGCCCCAUUGGGGGAGCUCUGGAGCUGGGAUAGCUCUGCAGAAUUGUCCUGAAUUGCAGCGUGACCAGUCAUUGGAUGUGCGCUGACCUGGGAAGGGCUGUGACCUUGGGCAAGGUGGCUCUCUUCAAGGACAAUUCCCAAAGAGGGACUUGGCUGUGAGGCGUCAGCCACCAGUGCCCAGCUCUGACGAAUGAGUGCCUGGGGAGCAAGCGCUUGAGUCCUGAUGAGGAAGGGGGAUAUAGGUGGUGCAUCAAAGUAGCCACUGCCCCUCCACUGGCUACAGUGACUCAAGGGCCUGGGGAAGAUGAUCCGAAAUGGAACCCUGACAGAUCGAACCCACUAGCCCAUCUGUACAGGAGAGCAGCUCUCCACCCUGUUGCGCAUGCUAAGUCACCUCAGAAUGUGUGACUUGCUGGGAAAGAGGAGGUCUUGUCCCCUGAUCCAACUGGCAUGCUCCCGACUUGAGGGUGGGUACUGGAUACUUAAAAAAAAAAAUCAAUAGCUCCGAGACACAGUCUGCAAGGGGCCAGAGAACAGAAGUCACACACUUCAGUUCCCUUUGCUUUGGGGCAGUCACAUCUGCAGCCUCACUGCUUCCAUGGUCGUAAGUGGUUCAUUAGUUUGGGGAUGGAGAAAGCACCAGGCAUAUAUAACUGUCUUUCUCCAUUGGAGUAAAAGUAAUAGAGGUAUUUAACCUACAUUUCCAUGUACAGUCAGCUUCUCCUGAGACCUCUGGGAAUGCUCAAAUCUGUAAAUACAGAAGCUUCAGAGUUCACCGCUGUGCUAGGUCGUCUGUUUCCACCCGUCCUGGUAUUCACGCCCUUGGUUAAUUCCCUGCCCUGGAGUCUGGGCUGGUCCUGUGACUUGUGUCAUCCUGUUGGUAAAACAAGUCACAGGCCCAGCCUUGAGAAGGCCUGGAAGCUUCUGCCUUUGCGCUCUUGGGGACCCUAAGCCACUAGGUAAGAAGUCCAGCUUCUGGACUUCUGGCAAGGCCACUUGGACAGGCCCUGAGACUACUACACAGAAAGAGACAGAAGCACAGCCAACCCAGCAUCCCAGCGGAGCCUAGCCCCCAGGCGACAUAGCAACUGACUGGCCACCGGCAAGACUAUCGCAAGAACUGCCCAGUGAGCGCCUCCCACACUGCAGAAUCUUGGACCAGCCGACCGGCUAUUGUUUCUUAAGCCAUUAAGUUUUGGGGUGGAUUCCUACACAACAAUAGAUAGACAAAACAACCCUAAUUAGCAAUUACCUCGAGUCAAAGGGCUAUGCUGGCCUCGCCCCACCCCUAUCAAGUCAACUGCCUUUUAAGGUUGAACUGAAGAGUCCUUCCUCAUUUGAUGGCCGCUUUUCACAAGGAAACGAACAUUUUUAUUACAUCAUAAUAGUUACCGCCUACCCAGUGAUGAAUAGACCAAAAAAUUUUGAAGGAGAAAAAAAAUCCUCACUAGGCUGUCGGCACCGGAGGUCAGGGAUUGGGCUCUCUCACUAGCUAUGUAGCUUAAUCCUGUGAAUCGUUUUCAUAUGCUGGGGGCUCAAAUUCAUGCCUCGGUAAGUUUACAAAUGGCUCCCUGUCAUGGACCUCCAAGGUCAUUCACCAAGAGAAGAAACUCAGAAUAUUAAAUCCUGAGAUUCAGGGUCAGUGUUGGUUGGACACGGAGCCCACCAGGUCAGAGAUGGAGUGUAGCAAGAUGAUCCAGGGCUGGCUUCUGGAGCCAGAUCACCUGGGAUCAAAUCCCAGAUCUGUCACUUGUUGGCUGUAAAACCCUGGGCAAGUUACUUAACUUCUCUGUGCCUCAGCACCCUUAUCUAUAAAGUUGGGAUAAUAACAGUCCCUCCCUCGCAGGGUUACUGUGAGGAUUAAGUGAGUUAAUAUAUGUACAGGGCAUAGACCAGUGCCUGGCUCUUCUGAGCCUAACUCUAAGUGGUUCUGCAGUAAAAACAAAAAACAAAAAACAAAACAAAACAAAACAAGAAACCAAAAAACCCCCCAAAAACAAAAACUCACAUGGACCUUAAGUAAUACAAAUAGCUGUUUUUAGUGACUAUACAAGAUGAAAGCUAUCUAGGGACUGUAUAUCAGCUUUCUGAAACUAUAUCCCGUAUAACUUUUCAUAAGAGGGCAGAGUGAACAGAGCAUGGCAGAAGGAGCACUGAGCCAAGAGAUGGAGACCUACAUUCUAAUUGCAGCCCUGCCAUAAACUAGCUGUGUCACAUUGGGCAAGUGAUCUAUAACAUGGGGGAUAAUACAAUGACCUUGCCUAAAGAGGCUAGACCAGAUGGUCCCUCUAGGAACCUUUUAUGUCUCAAUACCUUUCCAAAUCCUGAGACAGGAAAGGGCAAGUGGAAUGACGACCGUUUUAAAGAUGGAGACACGUAUUUGGCCACGUGACUUGCCCAGAGCCAAAUCCACUGCCAAAGGAGAGCAAAACAGGGGCAUCUUCCGCGCCACAGAGCUUACUGCUGCGGCACAGACUACAUUUCCCAGCUUCCCUUGCAGUUUGAUGUGGCCAUGUGAUUGAGUUCUGGCCAGUGGAAUGUGGGUGGUGAUGAGGUGGGCUACUUCCAGUCCUCCUACCGUGCUCUCUCUUUCCCCUUCUGCUGGCUAGAUACAAAGGAACCCAGGAGGGACUCCAAGGCCCUAGGGGAUAGCAGAGCUGCAAGAGGGCAUGAGACCAGGUUCCUUGUCAUCACAAGCCAAAAGUUGAUUAGGCUUUAUAUGAUUAAAAAAAGAAAAACGGCAUUGUGUUAACAUCCUGAGAUCUGGGACUUAACUUGUUACAGUAUAACCUAAUCCAUACACUCAGUGCGAGUCUCUAGUUAAUGGCUGAUUCAGGUUCUGAGCUUCAAGAGGAAGCAGCCUUUUUCUGUUUCAGUGCAAGAGAUCACUGACAUCUUAUUUGUAGAGGCAGAGCCAAGACAAUGAAGUCUUUAGGAAAUCUGAAUCCCAACUCAUGGCCCUCCCACGGGCCCUUCUCAGGGUGCCAAAGAGUUAGCCACUGUUGCACUGGGCCUUUUGGCUACACUGAAUCAUCAGCAAUCUUGCAUCUUCUGUAGGGAACACAAAGAUGAGGGGCAUUUUAAAGAUAAACCAGCAAAUGUUCUCAAGCCUCUAAGAGAAGACUGAUCAGGAAUGAUGAGAGGAUUUAGCAGAGGUGCUUUCUUUCCCAGUCUCUUCCUUCUCCCAAAUCAAACUCUACCUUAAUAUUGUCCUGAUGAUUAUAUUUCUGACCUACCUACAGAAAAUAAAGGUAAAAUUUUAAAAUCAAAAUUCACUUUCAAAAGGAGGAGAGAAUCACCCAGUAGGUUCCGUCUUGAAUAGCGAACUGAUGGUGGUAAUUUACACCUUCCCUCUUAAAUUCCCAUACUCUUUAGUUUAUUUCUUUCACCGUUAAAAAGUUAGGCAUUUACAUUUUUUCAGCCAUUACCAAUGCAUUUUUGCAAAAAAAAAAAAAAAAUUCCUAUCAUUCAACCAGAUCAAGAACAGAUGGGGCCUGUUUUCUUCAAGCUGGACUUUGCCAUCUUUGCUGCCAAAGAAAAGGCGAACAUGGGGGAAAUUAAGGCUUUUGAAAAUAAAUAACGGGAGAGCCCUGGCAGGCUCAAGGGAUCCAGAACCCGCAGGAAGAGAUCUGAGCUUCCCACCAUCCACUAGGAUCACUGAAGUCCUCAGUCCCUUCCUGUCUCCCUUCCAUGUGGUACCUUCCCCAUCAGCUGGGGCUGGUCCCCUUCAGACAGACUGGGUACCUCUCAAUUUCCAAGAAGAGAUUCCUCACUCAACUGUCCAGGGAUUUCCAUCUGGAAAAGAAAGAGGGGCACCCCAGCUACUAUCUGCACCCAGGAAGCUGGCAUGAUUUAAGCACCACCCGGACCCUUUGGUCUCCGUGUAUUCUGGGCCAAACUCCACUGCGGGGAGUGGCCUCCUGGCCCCUAGGCACAGAGGACGAAGCCUCACAUAUGGCUAGGCAGAACUCAGAGGGAAUGUAAAGCUGCAGAUACCCAUGGCUGGGGGCUGGGGAGGGGUCUCUGUCUGGACUCCCAUCCCCCAAUCUUGCAGCCCAGUUGCUUAGGACCUCACAUAGGGAUGGAUGGGCUGCUGCUCUCUCACACAGAUCAGCUUCCUAGCAUCCCCACCCUGUCCUGAGACUGGUGGCUGAACUGCUCUGAAGGAUGUGUGCACCUGGUCACAGGCUGUCUGGGGGCCCAGUGUGGCUCACCCUCACGCAGCUGGGAAGGGAGACCCCAUCCUUGUAAUAGUGGGGUCAAGCUAAGCUGCAUCUCCAGCCGCAGGGUAUUUUUAGACGCUGUUAUCUUUGUCUUGCUCACAAGCAGCUGUGAAAAACAAAGUGGUGACCAGGAGGCACGAAACUAUAAAAUAAAAACCUCAUAAAGCAAGAGCUCCCAAACUCAAGAGCAGAGCACACUAUGGCUAAAACGCUGCGCACCAUCAUGGCGGGCCUGCUUAAUCUUCCCCUGAGGGGGCACCAGGUGGGGCUUUGCUCUUUUACUGUCCACCCAUUCCGGGCCUGGCAGGCCCUGGGCAGGUCCAGCUUUGGCCCACCGGCCGGCAGGGCUAGUCAGCCAGCAGCCCUACUCACGCCCACAGACGGUGACCCAGGUGCACAGGUGUGCCAAGGGAGCAGGCUCGACGGGGUUAACACUGCCACAGAAGGAAAAGCUCCAGCUCUCUCGCCUCUCUUUUCCAGCUCAUCCUUAACAGUCCAUUUGCCUUACAGCAUCACAGCCAGCUCCAUGACAGUGAAACCCCUGCACAGGCAGAAUGUCACCCAACACCAAGUGGCAGGGCAGGAAAACAGGAUGGGGCACCAAGAGGUAUCCCCCAACUUCUCCCGAGCCCUCAGAGCCCUUGGAAGGCCGAGCCUCAGGGUGCCCUCCCACUUAACAGUGCCUUCGAGUCCCUUCGCCACCAGACCAGGCAACCCCUGCAGCCCCCUCUACCCAGCUAGUAAAGGCCCUGGCAGCGGCGUGUAAGAGUGCCGCCCCUCCCCCAAACCCGGGCUGGGGGGUGGGGAGGAGGCGGCAAACUUCAAAACUGCAGCUGCGAUAUGCUUCAAAAAAAAAAAAAGAAAGAAAGAAAGAAAGAAAGACCCCUGAAAGCCAGAGAAGCUCCCCUCCUCCCUUGGAGCUAUGUGCGGUCCACCUUGACCGCCCGCUCAUCCUCACUCUUCUCUGCCAAGGGAACCCGGCUCUCAGACCUCGGCCGGGGUUAUUUCCUCAGGCUAGCGCGCGGCGGGGCCGUGGCUCUUGCUUCCUCCGUUCCCUAAGUUCACCCACCACCCAGAGGUGUGAAAAAUUAGUUAAAAAUGAUGUCACCUACCCAUACCCCCUCCCUCCCACGCUGGUCCCAUCUCAAACACACCCGCGUGGCCUGGGCUGUGAGUCGCAGAGCAUCCCGGGGGGUUGCGGUGGGGCGCCGCGCCGAGGCUAGCCUCCCCGGGUGCCCGCUCAGGCUCAGGCUCGGGCUCGGCCCUGGGAAGCCCGCCGGCGCAUCGUUCCCCCGCUGCAGAAAUCCUACCGCCCGUGCGCCCUGGGCGCGCCGCCGGGCCCCGCGCCGGCUCCCCAGGAAUGCGGCCGUCAGGUGAGGUAGGCAUGCGUGCCGGCUCCGCAGCGAAGCAGCAGCUGGCUGGGGCGCGGGGCUCGCGAUCUGCCUCUUCUCCCUCUCCCCGCAAAGGAGAGGCCUCUCGGGGGCUUUUCAGCGCCUCGUUGCGUUAGGACCGCAUUCCCCCUUCCUUUUCCUUUUUAUAUUAGUUUCUGCUUCAGAUGCAAAAAGGGAGAUCGCAGGAGUCCAUGCCCAGCUCCAGCCAAACUCGGUCCACAGGCUGAGAGAGAAUUAUGAAUGGAUGCUGCCUUCUGAUGAGGAAGUCGACUGGGGAGGUCUCUGCGCACGGCGCACUCCAUCAAAGCCCGGGCAUUGGCCCCUCCACUGCUUCAGUGCUGCAGGCAGAGACACCUAAUUGACCACUGGGAAAUCAGGUGCCUGGAGACCUGGGCGGGACGUAGCCCCAGGGCCACGCUGGGAUCGAGCGCCUUGCCUGUGUAGACAGCUUCGAUUUACAGCCCAGUGAAUGGAGGGGACUGCGGCAGCCAAACCUCCCGGGCAGCAGGCACGGCUGCACCAACGCUCUGCAGACAGCCGCCCAGCUCUGUGAGCAUCUCCUGGCUCCACUGGGCUAAAGGGAACCUGCUAAAAAUAAUCCGUCCCCUGCUGCCAGCCGCAGUGAGCUGCAGGACUCAGACCCCAGCCCCAAACUCGGUGGCGCGCGGGAGCCGGCCACAACGCGGGCCCUGUGCACUGAGACAAGCGGGGGGCUGCGGAGGAUCCCGGAUCCGGAUUUCUGGUACCUGUGCGUUUCCUUCUCCGGUAGCGCGACCGCUGGUGCUGCGCGUUACCCAUGCCCAGAGUGGCGGCGGGCUCGGCACAUCACCAUCAGGCUGGACCGACCGCGGCUGCUCAACACCGCACCCCCGUGGCUCCCUUCUCACCUCCCGGCUCCCUGGUCUCUGGCCAACAGCAGAGGAAUCAGAGACGCCAAUCGUGCCAACUCCUCCAGCCGGGGCAAGAGGGAGGACAGAGACUGGCGUGGAGCAUGUGCCCACGCGCGUAACAGGAUUAGAGCGGCCCGAAUAUUGUAACAUUGCGUCCCCUCCCCCUAGUCAUCUCCGAAACCUCGCAGCCUAGACACAAGUCACCCUGCCCAGGCUUAAAAACACUGCAAAGACAGUGCCUUCCCAGCGACGUGCUAAUCUCCAGGGAAGGGUAAUUCAACCAGCUCUGAGGAUGAACCAGGGUUAAAAGCCAUGGCAGUGUGUGCCCAUGCCUUAGGCUGGCAGGUUCUCUAUGUAACAACCACAUGCAGAAGACAGAAAGCCAUUUAGGGCCACGUAAAACACAACACUUAUGGGAUAUAUCCUAAUAUAUAACAAGGGAAAAACCAGUGAAUGAAAUUAUCCAAAAUGUGCCUUGUGGGAGGCAGUUUUCGGUAAUUUGUCUUGAUGCCUUGGAAACCCAUUUAGGGAAAACUUGACUAUUUUUUGACCAGGAUACCUAUCUUCCAAUAGGGAGACUUAUGCCCUGGGCAGAUUUGCAUGCCAGAGCAGUACUGCGUCCACGAGGCCCCUGACUCUUCCAUAAUUCACAAAUUGUGGUGAAACACUCGACUUGCCAAGGUCACAAGAAAUCACAGGGUUUGCGCAAGCACUGGUAGAGAGUACUUCCCAAUUGGCAUUACUACGAAUUAUGACUGUGGUCACAUAAAGUACCACAUGCAACCCAAGUUAGUCUGGGUUGGCUGCUCUCCUCUGACCCCACUCACACCAACCUCCUCAGACGGCUGCCAGCCUCCAGCGGAGACUAGAGAAGGUGGCUGGAGUCCCCCCUGGAAGACAGAGCGCGGCUAGGUCAGGAAGGAUGACGUGGGAGGAGGUGGCACUGUCACUCCCCCAGUGAGGCUGAGAAGAGUCAUGAACCCCAAAGUUUAAGGGGUGGGUAGGCAAGGGAAAAGAGCCCACCAGAGACAGAGGGAGAGAGAGGAGUCAGAGACAGACCAGGAGGGAGGGAGGGCCCCCUCUUAGAAACCGAGGGACCAAAGGGUUUCACGAAGGCGGCAUGAUCAAGAAUGCCAGACGUCACUGAGGGGGCAGUGGGGGCAGUACCCACCGCUCCUUCGUCUCCAGGAGGCCUAGUGGAGUGGCCACGGGGGUGUGUGGGGUGGGCGGGGAGGCCAGUCAGAGCUGCUGAAAAGAAAAGGGAAGGCUUUCCCUUAGACUUGCUCAUCAAAGGACCAGCAGCACCCGGGAGCCCGUUAAAGGUACAGAGAGCUCCGGGACAGACUCCACUGGGGCACGGGGAGCCCCGCCAUGUGUGGACUCAAACCGGUCAGGCCCUGAAAUGAGAGCUUAUGUUCAGACAAGCAAAAUGGCCCCCCUCUACAGCGAUCCCUGCAAGAUCGUGGGGAGCUGGUGGCCAAAUUACUAAUCACACAUCCCAAGGAGAUGAACCGCGUUGCUCCGGGUUUUCAGGGCUGCUCUAUCAAGGGAGAGCCUUGGCAGUGAGGCCUGCAGAACUCUAUUAAGUGAUGAAAAUGGCCAUCCGUGUCUUGCCCUUCGCAGUGAUCUUUACAAUUAUGAGGUUGUUGUUAACAGUGGUGAUGAAAAUAAUGAUAUAACUAGAUUACUUACAUCUGGAUAAGGUUUUAGCGAGUCCCGUGGUAUAGAGAAAAAAAAAAGAGAGAGAAAAAAAGCCCAAAACAACCCUGGACUUUGGUCCCAGAAAGACCUGUGUUUGAAUCCUAGCUCCUCCACUCUCAGCAGUAUGGCCUUUGGAAAAUCAUUUGACUUCCCUGAACCUUGGUUUCCUCACUUGUAAAACGCAAAGAGGAAUGCCUAAUUUACAGGGUUGUUAGAAAGAGGAAAUAAAAUGAUAGAUACAAAGCUCCAUGAUGGUGCCUGACACAUAAUAAAAGCCCAGCGAAGGUAGUUCCUUCCUUGAGACCUUCCCGCACAUGCUCAUAUUGGAGUUUUUCUGAGUUCCCUACCCCCUUCAUGGUGGUUAGGGUCCCUGUUGCUUCCUAUGGUUUGAGGGUCCAAAAAGAAGUACGUAUUGAACGUCUCUUAGAUGCCAGCUACUGUGCUGGGUUCUGGCGGGGAAAGAGCAGACUCUGGGCCCUUCUGGAGCUGGCAUUCAAAGGGCGGAGUUUACGUCCCAGCCCAUGUGGGUGUCCUGCUUGUUUUUUCUGUCAGCCAAGGGUACCAGGUCUCAGGAGGAAAAGAACUGCAAAUGUGUCCUCCCUUUAGGACAGUGAUGGUCUAGAGCAGGGAUCAGCAAACUCCUUCUGUGAAGGGCCAGGUAAUAAAUAUUUCAGGCUCUGAAAGCCACGUGGUCUCUGCUGCCAUGACUCCACCCUGCUGUUAUAGCUCAAAAGGCAUAAAUGAAUGGAUGUGGCUGUGUUCCAAUAAAAUUUUAUGCACAGAACAGACGGGGGGUGGGAGGGUGGUGGUGGGGAUUUGGCCUGAGGGCCCUAGUUUGCCAGCCUCUGAUCCUUCAGUGUGACUUAGGACAGGACUAUUCCCUUUCACUGGUAUUACCAGGAAGUGUAUAAGUCUUCACAGGUGAUUUUCCAUACAAUUCAAGUUUAUCCAACCAAGAGCAGUUUACUGAAGCUCCUUGUCGUGUUAGAGCAUAUUUUAUACUUUCCCCGGAAAAGACCGGCUAGUUUGUUGUUCAGCAAACUGUCUCUGCCUUUCUCCUCCAGCCAGCCUCCCUCACAGACAGGCGCAGCCAUGUAACUGUGUGCUAGCCAGGGGGAUGUGGGAAAGGGCUGUGUGCCUCCAGGUCUGGCCCAGAAGAGCUCCUGCCCGUUCCUACACACACUCCCUUCUCUCCCCCGCAGGAGGAACAGGGUGGAGAAACCCCAAGAUGGAAGGCGCCUGGGUACCAAAUGACUGCAUGCCGACCUGCAUUAGACUGCAGUGUGAGAACGAAGCCACUGAAAUGG